CAGCCGCCACGGUAAUACGAAGGGGGCUAGCGUUGUUCGGAUUUACUGGGCGUAAAGCGCACGUAGGCGGACUUUUAAGUCAGGGGUGAAAUCCCGGGGCUCAACCCCGGAACUGCCUUUGAUACUGGAAGUCUUGAGUAUGGUAGAGGUGAGUGGAAUUCCGAGUGUAGAGGUGAAAUUCGUAGAUAUUCGGAGGAACACCAGUGGCGAAGGCGGCUCACUGGACCAUUACUGACGCUGAGGUGCGAAAGCGUGGGGAGCAAACAGGAUUAGAUACCCGAGUAGUCCCUGUCUCUUAUAC
rnacentral:rRNA from 1 species